GAUGAACGCUAGCGAUAGGCCUAACACAUGCAAGUCGAGGGGCAUCACAUGAGGCAGCAAUGCCGAUGGUGGCGACCGGCGCACGGGUGAGUAACACGUAUGCAACCUGCCUUCAACAAGGGGAUAACCCGUUGAAAAACGGACUAAUACCCUAUAAUACAGGGGUCCCGCAUGGGGAUAUUUGUUAAAGAUUGAUCGGUUGAAGAUGGGCAUGCGUUCCAUUAGCUGGUUGGUGAGGUAACGGCUCACCAAGGCAACGAUGGAUAGGGGAACUGAGAGGUUUAUCCCCCACACUGGUACUGAGACACGGACCAGACUCCUACGGGAGGCAGCAGUGAGGAAUAUUGGUCAAUGGACGCAAGUCUGAACCAGCCACGUCGCGUGAAGGAGACGGCCCUACGGGUUGUAAACUUCUUUUGUAAGGGAAUAAAGUGUAGUACGCGUACUAUUUUGCAUGUACCUUACGAAUAAGGAUCGGCUAACUCCGUGCCAGCAGCCG
rnacentral:rRNA from 1 species